rnacentral:rRNA from 1 species
GACGAACGCUGGCGGCGUGCUUAACACAUGCAAGUCGAACGGAAAGGCCCUGCUUUUGUGGGGUGCUCGAGUGGCGAACGGGUGAGUAACACGUGAGUAACCUGCCCUUGACUUUGGGAUAACUUCAGGAAACUGGGGCUAAUACCGGAUAGGAGCUCCUGCUGCAUGGUGGGGGUUGGAAAGUUUCGGCGGUUGGGGAUGGACUCGCGGCUUAUCAGCUUGUUGGUGGGGUAGUGGCUUACCAAGGCUUUGACGGGUAGCCGGCCUGAGAGGGUGACCGGCCACAUGGGGCCUGAGAUACGGCCCAGACUCCUACGGGAGGCAGCAGUGGGGAAUAUUGCACAAUGGGCGGAAGCCUGAUGCAGCAACGCCGCGUGCGGUAUGACGGCCUUCGGGUGGUAAACCGCUUUCGCCUGUGACGAAGCGUGAGUGACGGUAAUGGGUAAAGAAGCACCGGCGAACUACGU